rnacentral:lncRNA from 13 species
AAAGUAACUUUUAAAAAAAAAGUUUUCAGACACUUGUCUGUUUUAUCAGAGGAGAUCACUUUGGUCACACAAGAAUGUUUAUAAGCACAGGCUGUGUCCUAUAUAGGCAAUAGGAUGCCAUUUAGGACAGACCCAGUUUACAAAUGAAAACACCUUCAGCAGGACAGCAACUGUUCAGAUAUACUAUUUUGUAUCCAGCCAAUGAGUCAUUCAUAGGAUUCUCCAACUUUAAAAAUAAAUGUUUUUAUAUCAAUUUGUCUGCUAUUUCUUUAUUUCAUUUGAAUUAGAGGUUAGUAGUAUUAACUAGUAGAAGAUAUAACCUGUGAUAACAGAAUGGAAGAAAUCCUUUUUUCUUUGUCAUUUGUCCCCAGCUCCACCAGUGAAUAGAACUUAGUGAUAUCGGUGAAUGUGGUAAUUCAUAACCGGGUGAAAUAUAAAACCCCAAUAGAUUCUAGAUACUACAGAGGGCAUACGGGUCUCUCUGAGAUGGACGUCCCAACGGGUCUCUCUCUGAGAUGAGAUGGACGUCCCAACGGGUCUCUCUCUGAGAUGGAUGGACGUCCCAACGGGUCUCUCUCUGAGAUGGACGUCCCAACGGGUCUCUCUCUGAGAUGGACGUCCCAACGGGUCUCUCUCUGAGAUGGACGUCCCAACGGGUCUCUCUCUGAGAUGGACGUCCCAACGGGUCUCUCUCUGAGAUGGANNNNNNNNNNUGACAUUAAAGUUGUAAACAGAUCCAUAGCCCCGCCCCAUUUAAUUGUAUGGGACAAUACAGUUCUAAAUGACAUUAAAGUUGUAAACAGAUCCAUAGCCCCGCCCCAUUUAAUUGUAUGGGACAAUACAGUUCUAAAUGACAUUAAAGUUGUAAACAGAUCCAUUUAAUUGUAUGGGACAAUACAGUUCUAAAUGACAUUAAAGUUGUAAACAGAUCCAUUUAAUUGUAUGGGACAAUACAGUUCUAAAUGAAGUACCAUAGCAUUUUGAACUGUUAAUGAUUUCUAUCCAUACAUUUCUAGAACUGUAAUUGCUGUGGUCGGUGUAUCGUCAUUUUAAAUGUAAUGUGAGUUGUGGUUUUGUUAGAUGUACUCAUGCCACCGGUUCUUUUUAGUUUUCAACACCCGCAGUAUCGUUUUGUAACAAAGUAACUUUUAAAAAAAAAGUUUUCAGACACUUGUCUGUUUUAUCAGAGGAGAUCACUUUGGUCACACAAGAAUGUUUAUAAGCACAGGCUGUGUCCUAUAUAGGCAAUAGGAUGCCAUUUAGGACAGACCCAGUUUACAAAUGAAAACACCUUCAGCAGGACAGCAACUGUUCAGAUAUACUAUUUUGUAUCCAGCCAAUGAGUCAUUCAUAGGAUUCUCCAACUUUAAAAAUAAAUGUUUUUAUAUCAAUUUGUCUGCUAUUUCUUUAUUUCAUUUGAAUUAGAGGUUAGUAGUAUUAACUAGUAGAAGAUAUAACCUGUGAUAACAGAAUGGAAGAAAUCCUUUUUUCUUUGUCAUUUGUCCCCAGCUCCACCAGUGAAUAGAACUUAGUGAUAUCGGUGAAUGUGGUAAUUCAUAACCGGGUGAAAUAUAAAACCCCAAUAGAUUCUAGAUACUACAGAGGGCAUACGGGUCUCUCUGAGAUGGACGUCCCAACGGGUCUCUCUCUGAGAUGAGAUGGACGUCCCAACGGGUCUCUCUCUGAGAUGGAUGGACGUCCCAACGGGUCUCUCUCUGAGAUGGACGUCCCAACGGGUCUCUCUCUGAGAUGGACGUCCCAACGGGUCUCUCUCUGAGAUGGACGUCCCAACGGGUCUCUCUCUGAGAUGGACGUCCCAACGGGUCUCUCUCUGAGAUGGANNNNNNNNNNGAUCCAUUUAAUUGUAUGGGACAAUACAGUUCUAAAUGACAUUAAAGUUGUAAACAGAUCCAUUUAAUUGUAUGGGACAAUACAGUUCUAAAUGACAUUAAAGUUGUAAACAGAUCCAUUUAAUUGUAUGGGACAAUACAGUUCUAAAUGAAGUACCAUAGCAUUUUGAACUGUUAAUGAUUUCUAUCCAUACAUUUCUAGAACUGUAAUUGCUGUGGUCGGUGUAUCGUCAUUUUAAAUGUAAUGUGAGUUGUGGUUUUGUUAGAUGUACUCAUGCCACCG